CAUAUCUAUACAUCUAUCUAUACACAUAUUAUUUUUCAUAAAUUUUUGUCACGUGAUAGCACCAUAGUCUCUCAUUCUCAAAAUUUCUACUCUUCAAUCAUUGCGACCGCUUUUCUUUUUCGUAACGUCUGCCUUUUCGGUUUUCUGUUUUAUUAAUUCCUUUCCUGUAACGUAUGCUUCUUCGGCUUUCCGUCGAUCAUUAAUUCUUUCCCCGUAACGUAUGCCUCUUCGGCUUUCCCUCUCAUUAAUUUAUUCUCUGUUACGUCGCUGUUUCGACUUCACGCCUCAUUAGUUUUUAUUUUUUAA
rnacentral:lncRNA from 1 species